rnacentral:misc_RNA from 1 species
AAAGAAGGAAAUCUGUUUUGACCAGAGUCAAGGAAACACAGCAAAAAGGCAGAGGUGGGUGUUUGUUUGGCGGGGCUACUCUGAUGCUACUCGGAGCGAGAUGACAUGAUUUCGCUCUCCCUUUGGUGCGAGAUCGAAAAGCUUAUAUUCAAAUGAAAUAACCAGUUUUUACUUAAUUUGCAACUUGAAAUGGAUUACGAAAGGAUCCAAAAGCCUCUGGUACAUGGUGGCCGAUUUUCUCCAGGAAAAUUGAGGAGUAUGCUACUUGGAGUUGAAAAGAAGAGGAAAGAAGAUGAAGAGGAGGUUGAAUCUGGUUACUCCUUGAGAUCUCAAUCGUCUCAACUUGAUGAAAGUGGUGGUAGCAGUUCUGAUAAUUGCAAAGAUGUAGAUGUUGUUAGUGUACUUCCCAAAUCCUCCACUUCAACCAUAGCUGACUCCAUGAGUGCACAGAUGGUUGCUGAUCAUAGAUCUAAAGAUCACUCGUUGGCCAAUUCAAGGAUUAGGUCCCAUGAAGAUUCAUCUUUAGAUUAUGACAGUGGACAAGAUACUACAAGUGUGUCAUCCACAGCAUUUGAGUUUCAGAAGGCAGAGCGUGCCCCACAAAGAGUUUCCAUUGCACCAUUUACAAAGCCAUUGCCAUCCAAAUGGGAUGAUGCCCAGAAAUGGAUAGCAAGCCCCACUACAACCAGGAUUGGGCAGGCUCAGGUGCAGGGUGGACAAGGAGUUGGUUCACGAAAGAUGGGUAAUGUUGUCCAUAUAAGCAGGCAACCUUCCAAAAAGGUUGUUAUAGAAGUUCCAGAACAAAAAUUGGUUUCAUUUGAAGAACCAGAUACAAAAUGGGUUGAUAGCAUUCAAGCUAAGAAGGAAGCUGGGAUGCAGAAAUUUGUUAGUUGGGAGGCUGAUACAUAUCCAAUUGCAGAAUCAUAUGGCAAGCCUGUGCUCAUGAUUGAGAAUUCUGUCAGGGAGUUAGCAAUUAGCCUUAGCCAGCAUGAUUCAUCUCCGGCCAUGCAUAGUGCUACUGCAUUUAUUCCUCCUCCUUCAACAGCAAGGUCUGUAUCAAUGAGAGAUAUGGGUACAGAAAUGACUCCCAUUGCUAGCCAAGAGCCGUCUAGGAAUGGAACUCCAGUGAGGGCUACAACUCCAAUUCGUAGUCCAAGUUCUUCUAGGCCAUCAACUCCUGGCAGAGCUACACCAACUUCAUCUCCAACAAAUCCCUUGAACGACGCUCUCAAUACUAACAAUGAGUGGUCAGAAAAGGAACUGCAAAUGAAAACCAGGAGGGAAAUAAUGGCUUUGGGGACACAGCUAGGUAAAAUGAACAUUGCUGCCUGGGCCAGCAAGGAGGAGGAGGAUAAGGAUGCAUCCACGUCACUGAAAACUGUCCCAGCAGAACAACCAGCUAAAAGUGUGAUUGAAACACGUGCAGCAGCAUGGGAGGAGGCAGAGAAAGCCAAGUACAUGGCCAGGUUCAAACGUGAAGAAAUGAAGAUUGAAGCAUGGGAAAAUCAUCAGAAAGCAAAAACAGAGGCUGAGAUGAGAAAAAUUGAGGUGGAGGUUGAGAGGGUCAGGGGGCGGGCCCAAGAUAAGCUUAUGAACACACUAGCAGCAGCAAGACAUAGGGCUGAAGAGAAGAGAGCAGCAGCAGAAGCCAAGAGAAAUCGGCAAGCUGCAAAAACUGAGCGGCAAGCAGAAUACAUUCGAAGAACUGGUCGUAUACCUUCUUCAUUUUCCUUCUGUAGUUGGUGUUCUUGAAACGUCAAGCACUUGAGCAAUUUGAAUUGAGCAGGCUUGUCAAGUUAGCAGAUUGCUUUGUUUCUAACCCAUCACGUGAAUCGUAAACCUAUUCUAUGUAAAAGCUUUUUUUUUUUUUUGUUUUUUUUAUUUUUUUUAUUUUUU